CAGCGAAUCGCUCGGCCCACUUU
rnacentral:miRNA from 1 species